GUAUAUAUAAAGCCAUGUACAUGACAUAGAAAAAAUAUGAAUGAAAUUAUUCAAUAAUCUUAUUCCACACUAACUUGGAACUCUAGAAUAGAGAAUUGCUAGCAGUUAGAUUAUUUAGGCAAUAUAUAGAAGUCCACCUUCAACCAAAGUUCAUUUAGUGCGUUCACCUUCAACCUAAGUUCAUUUGGUCAGUGUUUCAUAUUCUUUGCGUCAUGAUAGAUGUGUUAUUUCUUUGUCUUGGUGAGUAUACUGAUGACUUGUUGCAAUGAUAUUCUUGGUGUGAUGAGAUUCCAGACAUCUCCAAUUUUUAGAAAAUAGAUGUGUUAUUGACUUAUUUCUUUGUCUUGGUGAGUAUACUGAUGACUUGUUGCAAUGAUAUUCUUGGUGUGAUGAGAUUCCAGACAUCUCCCAUUUUUAGUUUUCUACUAUAAUUUUUUUUUACUAUUAUUACCUUUUAAAUAAGGAUUAUAGAUUUGCAAUGCUCUUUGUCCUUUCACCAUUCUAGGAAGGUCAUUUGGUGCUUGUUGUUACAAAGGCAAAUCCAUUCACUUAGUGGCAUUCGUUGUGGCAUCAUUGAAUAAGAUAAUGUUUGGUUCAGCAAAGCUAAGGAUGCCUGACAUGUCGAGAUGUUUACCAUCAGCUGGUGUUUCUGAAUGUAUUAUCUUUGAAUAAAAUAGUGCUCAGCUGAGUGAACAGCAGAAGGUCUGACAUCUUGAGAGAGGUUUACUGUCAGCUGUUAUUAUUGGCUGUAGCCUGUAGCAUCUUUGAAUAUUAGUGCUAAGUGAGUAAGCGAAGGAUGUCUAGCAUGUCGGUACAUUCAGGACGGCACAAAUGCUGUAUAAUGAUGGGAGAAACUUCCAUGUAGCAGGUUUUGGUCCCUCUUUUCUACCCUGGAGUCCACUUUUUGUGUCUGCUGCCAUUGUAAGUUAGAGAAUAUUGAUGGAUGUGAAAAU
rnacentral:lncRNA from 1 species